CAACUACUCCCUCCGUCCGAAAAUACUUGUCAUCAAAAUGAAUAAAAAGUGAUGUAUCUAGAACUAAAAUACGUCAAGAUACAUUCCCUUUUAUCCAUUUUGAUGACAAGUAUUUCCGGACGGAGGGAGUACGUC
rfam:Triticum aestivum genome assembly, contig: Triticum_aestivum_CS42_TGACv1_scaffold_129504_2BL